rnacentral:rRNA from 1 species
UCUGGUUGAUCCUGCCAGAAGUCAUAUGCUUGUCUCAAAGAUUAAGCCAUGCAUGUCUAAGUAAAAACGAUUUUUACUGUGAAACUGCGAAUGGCUCAUUAAAUCAGUUAUAGUUUCUUUGAUAUUAUCUUACUACUUGGAUAACCGUGGUAAUUCUAGAGCUAAUACAUGCCAAAACGUCCGACUUUUGAAGGAUGGUAUAUAUUAGAUACAAAACCAAUCAUGGGGUUUUCCCCGUGCUUUGUGAUGAUUCAUAAUAUCUUUACGAAUCGCAUGACCUUGAGUCGGCGAUAAAUCAUUCAAAUUUCUGCCCUAUCAACUUUUGAUGGUAGUGUAUUGGACUACCAUGGUUAUAACGGGUAACGGAGGAUUAGGGUUUGAUUCCGGAGAGGGAGCCUGAGAAACGGCUACCACAUCCAAGGAAGGCAGCAGGCGCGCAAAUUACCCAAUCUCGACACGAGGAGGUAGUGACAAUAAAUAACAAUGCAGGGCUUUUUAAGUCUUGCAAUUGGAAUGAGUACAAUUUAAAAUCCUUAACGAGGAACAAUUGGAGGGCAAGUCUGGUGCCAGCAGCCGCGGUAAUUCCAGCUCCAAUAGCGUAUAUUUAUGUUGUUGCAGUUGAAACGCUCGUAGUUGGAUUUCAGGAUGGAACGACUGGUCUGCCACUUUGUGGUGUGUACCGGUUUGUCUGUUCUUUUAUUUGAGGAUGCAUUCUGUCCUUUAUUGGAUGGUUUGUGGACUCAAAUCUUUUACUUUGAAAAAAUUAGAGUGUUUAAAGCAGGCGUUAUGCCUUGAAUACAUUAGCAUGGAAUAAUGAAAUAGGACUUUGGUUCUAUUUUGUUGGUUUCUAGAACUAAAGUAAUGAUUAAUAGGGGCAGUUGGGGGCAUUAAUAUUUAAUUGUCAGAGGUGAAAUUCUUGGAUUUAUGAAAGAUUAACUACUGCGAAAGCAUUUGUCAAGGAUGUUUUCAUUAAUCAAGAACGAAAGCGUGGGGAUCGAAGAUGAUCAGAUACCGUCGUAGUCCACGCCCGAACCGAUGCCAUCUAGGAAUUGGUGAAUGUUCAUUUAUGACUUCAUCAGCGUCUUCCGAGAAAUCAAAGAUUUUGGGUUCUGGGGGGAGUAUGGUCGCAAGGCUGAAACUUAAAGGAAUUGACGGAAGGGCACCACCAGGAUUGGAGCCUGCGGCUUAAUUUGACCCAACACGGGAAAACUUACCAGGUCCAGACAUAGUAAGGAUUGACAGAUUGAGAGCUCUUUCUUGAUUCUAUGCGUGGUGGUGCAUGGCCGUUCUUAGUUGGUGGAUUGAUUUGUCUGCUUAAUUGCGAUAACGAACGAGACCUUAACCUACUAAAUAGCUACGCGAACCCUAGGUUCGUGGCCAGCUUCUUAGAGGGACUAUAUAAGACAAUUAUAUGGAAGUUUGAGGCAAUAACAGGUCUGUGAUGCCCUUAGAUGUUCUGGGCCGCACGCGCGCUACACUGACGAAUUCAACAAGUUUUAACCUUGACCGAUAGGUCUGGGUAAUCUUUUAAAAGUUCGUCGUGCUGGGGAUUGACAAUUGCAAUUUUUUGUCAUGAACGAGGAAUUCCUAGUAAGCGCGAGUCAUCAGCUCGCGUUGAUUACGUCCCUGCCCUUUGUACACACCGCCCGUCGCUCCUACCGAUUGGAUGGUCCGGUGAAGUCUUCGGACCAUUGCGAGCAACUGGUUCGCCAGUAGCUCUGUAGUGGGAAGUUGAUUUAACCUUAUCAUCUAGAGGAAGGAAAAGUCGUAACAAGGUU